rnacentral:rRNA from 1 species
GUCGAACGGAAAGGCUUUCUAUGAUCCUUCGGGUGAGUAGAAAGUACUCGAGUGGCGAAAGGGCGAGGAAUAUGUGGGUAACGUACCCCGAGCACCGGGAUAGCUGUGGGAAACUGCAGGUAAUACCGGAUGAGACCACAGUACCUUCGGGUACAGUGGUCAAAGGAUGGGGAUCUCUUCGGAGACCUAUCGGCUUGGGAGCGGCCCAUAUCCUAUCAGCUUGUUGGUAAGGUAAUGGCUUACCAAGGCAAUGACCGGUACCGGGACUGAGAGGUUGAUCCGGCGCAUUGGGACUGAGACACUGCCCAGACUCCUUCGGGAGGCUGCAGUAACGAAUAUUGGACAAUGAACGAAAGUUUGAUCCAGCGACGCCGCGUGUAGGAAGAAGUCCCUCGGGAUGUAAACUACUGUCAGGGACUACCAAGCAAUUGGGGCUAAUAUCUCCAUGCGUUGAGGAAUCCCAGAGGAAGCCACGGCUAACUUCGUGCCAGCAGCCGCGGCAAGACGAAGGUGGCGAGCGUUGUUCGGAAUCACUUGGCUUAAAGAGCACGUAGGUGGGUUGUCAAGCGUUAUGUGAAAGCCCUCGGCUUAACCGAGGAACUGCAUUGCGAACUGGCAGCCUUGAGGCAGGUAAGGGCAACUGGAACUCUUGGUGAAGCGGUGGAAUGCGUAGAUAUCAAGAGGAACGCCAGAGGCGAAGGCGAGUUGCUGGGCCUGUCCUGACACUGAGGUGCGAAAGCGUGGGUAGCGAACGGGAUUAGAUACCCCGGUAGUCCACGCCCUAAACGAUGUGAACUAGGUCGGAGGUUCUCU